GACGAACGCUGGCGGCGUGCUUAACACAUGCAAGUCGAACGGAAAGGCCCUGCUUUUGUGGGGUGCUCGAGUGGCGAACGGGUGAGUAACACGUGAGUAACCUGCCCUUGACUUUGGGAUAACUUCAGGAAACUGGGGCUAAUACCGGAUAGGAGCUCCUGCUGCAUGGUGGGGGUUGGAAAGUUUCGGCGGUUGGGGAUGGACUCGCGGCUUAUCAGCUUGUUGGUGGGGUAGUGGCUUACCAAGGCUUUGACGGGUAGCCGGCCUGAGAGGGUGACCGGCCACAUGGGGACUGAGAUACGGCCCAGACUCCUACUGGAGGCAGCAGUGGGGAAUAUGGCACAAUGGGCGGAAGCCUGAUGCAGCAACGCCGCGUGCGGGAUGACGGCCUUCGGGUUGUAAACCGCUGUCGCCUGUGACGAAGCGUGAGUGACGGUAAUGGGUAAAGAAGCACCGGCUAACUACGUG
rnacentral:rRNA from 1 species